AGUGAACGCUGGCGGUAGGCCUAACACAUGCAAGUCGAACGGCAGCACAGUAAGAGCUUGCUCUUACGGGUGGCGAGUGGCGGACGGGUGAGGAAUACAUCGGUAUCUACUUUUUCGUGGGGGAUAACGUAGGGAAACUUACGCUAAUACCGCAUACGACCUACGGGUGAAAGCAGGGGAUCUUCGGACCUUGCGCGAUUGAAUGAGCCGAUGUCGGAUUAGCUAGUUGGCGGGGUAAAGGCCCACCAAGGCGACGAUCCGUAGCUGGUCUGAGAGGAUGAUCAGCCACACUGGAACUGAGACACGGUCCAGACUCCCACGGGAGGCAGCAGUGGGGAAUAUUGGACAAUGGGCGCAAGCCUGAUCCAGCCAUACCGCGUGGGUGAAGAAGGCCUUCGGGUUGUAAAGCCCUUUUGUUGGGAAAGAAAAGCAGCAGGUUAAUACCCCGCUGUUCUGACGGUACCCAAAGAAUAAGCACCGGCUAACUUCGUG
rnacentral:rRNA from 1 species